rnacentral:rRNA from 1 species
UGGAUAACUGUGGUAAUUCUAGAGCUAAUACAUGCACCAAAGCUCUGACUUUUGGACGAGCGCAUCUAUUAGAUUAAAACCAAUCGGGCUUCAACCCGUCAUUUGGUGACUCUGAAUAGCUAUGGCUGAUCGCAUGGUCUUGUACCGGCGACGUAUCUAUCAAGUGUCUGCCUUAUCAACUUUCGAUGGUAGUUUAUGUGCCUACCAUGGUUGUAACGGGUAACGGAGAAUAAGGGUUCGACUCCGGAGAGGGAGCCUGAGAAACGGCUACCACAUCCAAGGAAGGCAGCAGGCGCGCAAAUUACCCACUCUCGGCAUGAGGAGGUAGUGACGAAAAAUAACGAGACCGUUCUCUUUGAGGCCGGUUAUCGGAAUGGGUACAAUUUAAACCCGUUAACGAGGAUCUAUGAGAGGGCAAGUCUGGUGCCAGCAGCCGCGGUAAUUCCAGCUCUCAAAGUGUAUAUCGUCAUUGCUGCGGUUAAAAAGCUCGUAGUUGGAUCUGCGCCUCAGGACCUGGUCCGUCUUAUGGACGAGAACUGGGCUCCUAGGCUAAUACUGCCGGUUUUCUUUACGUUACCUUCAUCGGUCGCGUAAGGUGGCCGGCGAGUUUACCUUGAAAAAAUUAGAGUGCUCAAAGCGGGCUAAUGCCUGAAUAUUCGU